CUUGCUUUUUAACAAGAGUGACGGGCGAUAUGUGCAUAUAAAAUUUCACUUUCAAUAUUUAUUUAUUUUUAUAAAAAUUUAAUUUUAAGUUCUAUUUCAUAUUUAUUUAUUUAUCAUCUAAUUGUUUAAAUUGUAUCACACUAUAUUCUUUAAUAUAAUCUUCGUAUUGAUUUGUUUUUUUAUUAUUUUAUAUUAAAAAAAAAUAAAAUUUUUUAUAUUUUUUUUAAACAAUAAUAUAAAAAAUAAAAAAUAUAGAACAUUUAAUAGUGGGUUGUCUAUUAGUUAGCAGGAUCCCCUAAAUAGAUUUUAUACCGCCAAUUUAAAUUAUUUUUUCUUUAUUUAGAUACUUUUUUAGUUAAUUUAAAA
rnacentral:rRNA from 1 species